GAACUGCUGCAGGUGCUUGUCCUUUCUCUUUUGUUAAUCCUAAGACAAUGGCUAUUCCACCCCUUCAUUCUUGCUAUCUCAUACGGUUUGAUGUAGAAAGAAGCAGUGAUUGGCUAAAGCAGACCAUAAUGCGAUUUUACUUAAAGAAAUUACCCAUUCACGCCAGAGUUAGCUGCAUCUUAUAAAAUUUGGGUGUCAAUAAUAAAUCUUGCUUUUACUAUCACACUGUUUUUGAGAUAGCAGCAUCUUAUAAAAUUUGGAUGUCAAUAUAAAUCUUGUUUGACUAUUGCAAUGUUCUUCUUAUUUUGGAAUCAUCUCUUUGAGCAUCAUUCUUCUAUACUUGCAUAUUGUAACUGAAUUAUCAAUUUGCGCGUGUAUUUAAUCCCCUUGUUUAUAAUAAAUUUGCUAUGCAGUUGCGAAAGGAAGG
rnacentral:misc_RNA from 1 species